ensembl:lncRNA novel transcript
UCCCGCGACACUCGGGCCGGGCGCUGUCCCCGGCCAGCCCCGCUGGGCCCAGGGAGCCCGCGUUUUGCAAGAUGCCCCUGAAUGCCCGCUUUCCCCGGAGCCCCCUCCUCCAAACCCAGCCGGAGCCCUGCCUGGGCCCGGUGUCUCCUGGCUGGGGAGGAGGCGGCGGCGAAGCUGCUGCAGGGCAGAGUGCGAAAUGGAAACCUCGGGAGGACAGUUUCCUCCCCUGGCAGGGAGUUGAGAACUAAAUGCGAGAUUCCCGGUAAGGGAAUUCUAGGACAAAGCAAAAUCAAGAAUUCAUCAAGGUUAAAAGUCGUUUCUUUUAAUAAACUGCCCACCACCCAUCCCCAAAUAAAAAGAGGCCAAAGAGCUAACUAAAAGUAGUAAAAAUGCCAGUUCUGGAUUUUU